rnacentral:rRNA from 1 species
UGGGGAAUUUUGGACAAUGGGCGAAAGCCUGAUCCAGCAAUGCCGCGUGUGUGAAGAAGGCCUUCGGGUUGUAAAGCACUUUUGUCCGGAAAGAAAUCCUUGGCUCUAAUACAGUCGGGGGAGUGACGGUACCGGAAGAAUAAGCACCGGCUAACUACGUGCCAGCAGCCGCGGUAAUACGUAGGGUGCAAGCGUUAAUCGGAAUUACUGGGCGUAAAGCGUGCGCAGGCGGUUUGCUAAGACCGAUGUGAAAUCCCCGGGCUCAACCUGGGAACUGCAUUGGUGACUGGCAGGCUAGAGUAUGGCAGAGGGGGGUGAGAAUUCCACGUGUAGCAGUGAAAUGCGUAGAGAUGUGGAGGAAUACCGAUGGCGAAGGCAGCCCCCUGGCCAAGUACUGACGCUCAUGCACG